UUUUACAGGUAGGCCCUGCCCGGUGAUAUUUUAUUUAACGGCCGCAGUACUCUGACUGUGCUAAGGUAGCAUAAUAAUUUGUCUUUUAAUUAGAGACUGGAAUAAACGGGUGAUUAAUUGAAGUCUGUCUUUUAUUAUGGUAAUUUUAAAUUACUUUAAAAGGUGAAAAUUCCUUUUUUUUAAUAUAAGACGAGAAGACCCUUAGAGUUUUAGAUUAAUUUUGUUGGGGCGACAUGAAAGCAGAAAACCUUUCCAAAUUAUAUAUGAUAUAUCAUUAAUAUAUUUUAUAAAUAAACUACCUAAGGGAUAACAGCAUAAUUUUUUUAAAAGAUUAUGACCUCGAUGUUGGAUUAAGGACUUAUAUUUGCUAACAGCUAAAUAAGAUUGUUCUGUUCGAAC
rnacentral:rRNA from 1 species